AGAAGAUUUACGAUGGAAACGGAGGUAAUAUCCUGAUUAGAAUAUAACUAACAUAAAAAAUGAGGAUAAUAAUAAUAUCAAUAAAAUAUGAGAUGCGGGGUACAGUGAAGAAAGAAAACUCAAAAUGGGAUGGAAAAGAAAAAGAAAAUUAUCAAAUUACAAUCCGGAGGUCUCCGAGGGUUCUGCACUCCUAAUACCUGCUACUUCUAGCAGACGGAUCAGUUGCCAAUUAAAAUUAUACUUAUUAUACAACCAAUAAAUUUUAUCAAAUUCUUCAUUAUUCAAUCAAAUUAAUGUAAUUAAAUAUAGUAAUUAGGAUUUGAAAUUUCAUUUAUAGCCAAAUAAACAAUUAAUUUGUAUUA